AUUGAACGCUGGCGGCAGGCCUAACACAUGCAAGUCGAGCGGCAGCGGGAAAGUAGCUUGCUACUUUUGCCGGCGAGCGGCGGACGGGUGAGUAAUGCCUGGGAAAUUGCCCAGUCGAGGGGGAUAACAGUUGGAAACGACUGCUAAUACCGCAUACGCCCCACGGGGGAAAGCAGGGGACCUUCGGGCCUUGCGCGAUUGGAUAUGCCCAGGUGGGAUUAGCUAGUUGGUGAGGUAAUGGCUCACCAAGGCGACGAUCCCUAGCUGGUCUGAGCGGAUGAGCAGCCACACUGGAACUGAGACACGGUCCAGACUCCUACGGGAGGCAGCAGUGGGGAAUAUUGCACAAUGGGGGAAACCCUGAUGCAGCCAUGCCGCGUGUGUGAAGAAGGCCUUCGGGUUGUAAAGCACUUUCAGCGAGGAGGGAAGGUUGAUGCCUAAUACGUAUCAACUGUGACGUUACUCGCAGAAGAAGCACCGGCUAACUCCGUGCCAGCCGCCGCAGUAAAAC
rnacentral:rRNA from 1 species